rnacentral:misc_RNA from 1 species
GAUGAAGAACGCAGCGAAAUGCGAUACGUAAUGUGAAUUGCAGAAUUCAGUGAAUCAUCGAAUCUUUGAACGCAUAUUGCGCUCUUUGGUAUUCCGAAGAGCAUGCUUGUUUGAGUAUCAGUAAACACCUCAAAGUCUUUUUUUCUUGAAGAAAAAGACCUUGGACUUGAGCAAUCCCAACUCUUCUUUCAGAAGAGGCGGGUUGCUUGAAAUGCAGGUGCAGCUGGACAUUCUCCUGAGCUAAAAGCAUAUUCAUUUAGUCCCGUCAAACGGAUUAUUACUUUUGCUGCAGCUAACAUAAAGUGAGUUUGACCAUUUUGGCUGACUGAUGCAGGAAUUUCACAAGAGUCUUCAAAACGCUCUUGUUAAACUCGAUCUCAAAUCAAGUAAGACUACCCGCUGAACUUAAGCAUAUCAAUAAGCGGAGGA